AAAGAUGAUGGGUAGGGGAGCGGGCACAACCUGAUUUUGAUGACACCUAAUUGAUCAGACAUUAAUUCUUAUGCUUUAAUUUGUUCUAAGAAUCUGUUUCUUUUAUUGGCCAAUGCUUAAGUUGUCUAAACAUUAUCCCACCACUACCCAUUACCAAAGCUAUUGUCCUUAAUUAGGAAGAUAUCUCUUGAUUGGAUUGCCAUUAACUCAAAAAAGUAUACAUUUUAGAAGUGGCAAUGGAACUUUCAGGUUAAUUUUGUGUUGGGUUUAUUUAUUAUAUAAUUAUACUUUAUGUUUGUUUAAGUUUAAUUUGAUACGAAAUAUGAGUUUUAAAUUUAUUUUAAUUUAUCCAUAUUUUAAGGGCUAAACCUAACUCGUUUUAAGUAUGCACAUAUUAAUUUUAUAAUUUUUUUUAUAAAAAUCUUAGUUUUUAAUUUCAUUUAAUAGUUUAAUAUGUUUUUUUUCUUUUAUUAAAAUUUCAAGUAAAGAAAAUUUUAGCAUAUAUCUUUUAAUAUUUAAAUUAUAGUAUUACUAUAUAUUUUUUGGUAGAAAUAAAAACUAAGAAUUACAGAAUAAGAAGAACAGAACUCUUAGCCUCUCAGACCAUUCUUAAACAGCAUACAAUCCUCAUCUAAAAUUCCCCAAGUGGUCGUGAGGGAUCCUAAAAAAUCUUCAGUUUGCUGCAAUCACCUAGAGCAGUCCUAGUCAUGUGAUUUGCUGCUCUGUUGUGCUAUCUUCUUACAUGUCUUAGGCGCAUGCUGGAGAGUUGGUGAAUUAAUCGCAGCUUUACAAAGUUGUUGUCCGCUGCACAACCAUUUCGAAUAGACUCUAUAAGAAGAGCAUUAUCACUUUCGGCCUCAACUUGGGGAAACCCUUUGUCCCAAGCGAGAGUUAGCCACUCGUAUAACGCCCUUACCUUCACUUGCAAAACAGGCGCAACCCCUUUAGUCUUUGCAAAGCCUGCAAUCCAGUCUUCGCCUGGUCCAUGAAUUGCAUCCUUUACUAUCUCUCUACCUAAGUCAACCAAUAAAAGGGGCAUUUAUAUUAACCUUGACCCAUCCAGGUGGCUGCCAAAAAAUCUGCAAAUGAUUGCUACAAGCAAUCAAUUCUUGUUCGCGUGUAGGAAUAAAAUGUACUUAAGAAAUUAAUGAAUGUUUGAAGCGUAUAUGAAUGUCAUUUUCUUAAAAAUUUUAUUCAUCCCUACUUAUAUUUUGCUCUCAAAAUUCAUUUUCUCUCCAUAUUUUUUAACAUCCCGGUGAUAGAAAAAGGCAAUAUUCGUUCGUUGAUCGCUGCAGAGGUGUUACUAUUUUGAUCAUAAUGUUGUUAUAUCUUGGAAGACAUUCGACCAACGUUUCUUCAGCAAUAAGGUGAUAGAAAAAAGCAAUGUUCGUUCGUUGAUCGCUGCAGAGGUGUUACUACUUUGAUCAUAGUGCUGUUAUAUCCUGGGAGACAUUCGACCAACGUUUCUUCAACCGUAAGAGCGGCUGAAUCUGUCUUAAGGAAACUGUGUUAAACAGACCUCAACGUUUAGUAAAUCUCUAUUCUUCCUUUUGAUUUCAACUUUUUGUCACGGUUUUUAUUGGUGUACGUAUUUGAAAAUUUAAUAUAAAUUAUUCUAUUUAUAUUUU
rnacentral:lncRNA from 1 species